GGAGAGAUGGCAGAGUGGUCGAUUGUGGCGGUCUCGAAAGCCGUUGAGCUGCAAGGCUCCGGGGGUUCGAAUCCCUCUCUCUCCGCAA
rnacentral:tRNA from 2 species